UCAUUGCCUACAAUUUUUCACCAAUGUUUUCUUCUACUUUUCACCAAUUUUUGCCAUACCCAAACAUGCACUCUUCCACCCUAAAACAACCCUUUAUUUCUUCUUCUUCUCCUCCUUUUUUGAUGAAAAGAGAGAAUUUUUUGAAGCCUAGCCCAUUACAAAUUCAAGAAAAUCCAGGAAAAAGGAACACCAAGAAAAACCCACAAAUUUCUAUGCCUCUAAAUUGUGUUUUUCGUGGCCCUGGUAAAUCAAGAUCAAGAAAACCAAAUCCCAGAAAUAUGGCAGUUUUUCGCUUAACAAUAGGUGAACAGCCAUUACUGCAUACCUUAAGCGUAUCCAAAAAGGUACAAGCUUUGGAUUUGGAGUUCAAAUCUUUAUCUAAGCCCAUUGACAGAGUCAAAAGAUUGUUGCACUAUGCAAAUCAUCUUCCACAAUUCGAUGAAUCUGCGAAAAUUCAAGAAAAUAGAGUCAUGGGCUGCACAGCCCAGGUGUGGCUGGAAGUAGAAAUGGACAAUAAUGGAAUAAUGAAAUUCAGAGUUGAGAGUGAUUCAGAAAUCACAAAAGGGUUCUGUUCUUGUUUGAUUUGGGUACUAGACGGGGCAAAAUUCGAAGAGAUAUUGACUGUAAAGUCAGACGAUUUUGUAGAAAUGAAUGUGGGUUUGCCUAGUCGGGGUCACUCCAGAGUGAAUACUUGGCAUAAUGUGUUGAUUAGUAUGCAAAAGAGAACAAAAGAUUUGGCUGAGCAAAGAAAUGGACGAACUUUUCCUUCUCUAAUUCAUGAUAUCAGUGUCAAUGGAAGUCACAAGGAAACUCAGGUCUUAAUCUUAUCAGCAGUGGAAUCUUAUUACCUUAUUUUUCAUUUACAGACUACAUCUUUAGCUCCCAGAAUUGAUGGUCAAUGAGUGUCAUUCAAAUGAAAUGGAUAAACAUAUUGAACUCCACUUGGAUUUCUUCAGAUUCAGUCAGAAUUUUGUCACACUCAAGGCACAAAUCCUUCAGAACUUGUGGUUUAUAAUAAACCUCAUUACACUUCAGAAUCGCAAUACUGUCAUGCUCCAUGAACACAGAAUUUGUAAUUGUCUGAACCCAACGGGCAAGCUGAUGUUGCAGGAGAAAGCAGUUGUCUGCUAGCCGAAAAACAAUGUACACUAUAGGAUGCAAUGGAUUGGUUAAUAUUUUCAAGUUGUGUAUAGGAUGCAAUGGAUUGGUUAAUAUUUCCAGGUUUAAUGUUGGUGCAUUAGAACCAUAUAAACAAUUUUCAGAACUCUUUUUCUUUC